rnacentral:rRNA from 1 species
AGAGUUUGAUCCUGGCUCAGGAUGAACGCUGGCGGCGUGCCUAAUACAUGCAAGUCGAACGCUGGAAAUCUAGCUUGCUAGAUUGAAGGAGUGGCGAACGGGUGAGUAAUACAUAAGCAACCUACCCACGAAGACUGGGAUAAUCUCUGGAAACGGGGACUAAUACCGGAUAGGUAAUCGGAAGGCAUCUUCUGAUUAUUAAAGGUUAAAAACACUGGUGGAUGGGCUUAUGGCGCAUUAGUUAGUUGGUGAGGUAACGGCCCACCAAGACGAUGAUGCGUAGCCGGCCUGAGAGGGUGAACGGCCACAUUGGGACUGAGACACGGCCCAGACUCCUACGGGAGGCAGCAGUAGGGAAUUUUCGGCAAUGGGGGAAACCCUGACCGAGCAACGCCGCGUGAGUGAUGACGGCCUUCGGGUUGUAAAGCUCUGUUGUAAGGGAAGAACAGUAGAUAGAGAAUAUCUAAGUGACGGUACCUUACCAGAAAGCCACGGCUAACUACGUGCCAGCAGCCGCGGU